rnacentral:rRNA from 1 species
AGCGGGAAGAGCUCAAAUUUGUAAUCUGGCCCUUUCAGGGUCCGAGUUGUAAUCUCGAGAAGUGUUUUCCGCGCCGGACCGCAUACAAGUCUGUUGGAAUACAGCGUCAUAGUGGUGAGAGCCCCGUAAUUGAUGUGGAUGCCCGGUGCUUUGUGAUACACUUUCGAAGAGUCGAGUUGUUUGGGAAUGCAGCUCAAAUUGGGUGGUAAAUUCCAUCUAAAGCUAAAUAUUGGCGAGAGACCGAUAGCGAACAAGUACCGUGAGGGAAAGAUGAAAAGCACUUUGGAAAGAGAGUUAACAGUACGUGAAAUUGUUGGAAGGGAAACGCUUGAAGUCAGACUUGCUAUUCGGAAUUCAGCCGCAAGGUGUACUUUUCGAUUUGCAGGCCAGCAUCAGUUUUUGGGGGUGGAAAAGGGUGGAGAGAAGGUAGCAACCUUGGUUGUGUUAUAGCUCUUUAC